rnacentral:lncRNA from 1 species
UACAAAUAUGGCGUUUUGGACGGGCUCGAUAGUUUGCUUGGCCUCUACUCAAGGAAUGCUGAUGGUAUAGCAAGAAGGUAUUCUGAGCAUUAUAUCAAUGGGGAAGUUCUAGAUCUUUUGCAAAGCAGGAGCUGCCCUGUUGUGAGCUCUCCGGUGGAGAGCCCCACAUGGCAAGAAAAUGAGAAGCCCCCUGAACAGACAAGAGCUGAGGCCCAGGAUACAAUAUCCUGAAAAAAACUGAAUCCUGCUGACAGUUGCCCAAGUGAAGCUGGAAGUGGAUCUUUCUGCAGUGGAUCCUUGAGAUGACUGUAGCCCUGGCUGACAACUUGAUUGCUGCCUGUGAAGGACCCUGAACCAGAGGACUCAGCGAAAUUGUGCCCAGAUUCCUGACCUACAGAGGCAGUGAGAUAAUAAAUGCUGUUGAGGUCA